CAAACUGAAGAUGGCGACCGGCGCACGGGUGAGUAACACGUAUCCAACCUGCCGAUAACUCUGGAAUAGCCUUUCGAAAGAAAGAUUAAUACCGGAUAGUAUACGAAUAUCGCAUGAUAUUUUUAUUAAAGAAUUUCGGUUAUCGAUGGGGAUGCGUUCCAUUAGUUUGUUGGCGGGGUAACGGCCCACCAAGCCUUCGAUGGAUAGGGGUUCUGAGAGGAAGGUCCCCCACAUUGGAACUGAGACACGGUCCAAACUCCUACGGGAGGCAGCAUG
rnacentral:rRNA from 1 species